UUAGUAACAGGAAUUUAAUCGGCAGCUCAUCGUUUCGACGUACGGAAUUACGUGAAUCCCGAACGACGCCGGCUACCAGGACGUCGGCGUCGGGAGCUUUACGCUGCCACGUGGCCCGUUCGUUAAGGUAACCCGCGGUUGUAAUUAACUCGCGAAGACAGGAAUUCAUGCUUCUGUGCCGCCGCGAUACGAUUUUUGCGAUAUCGGAGGAUUCUAACUGUACCUCGCCACGGAGAGCUCGUAAAUCGAAGGACGUUUCAGCGACCCUUUAUAGCAUCUCCUGAGAGUGUUUCUCCGAGGAGCUUGGAAACUUGGAGGGUUUCAUGGUACUUGAGUUUUUUCCUUAGGCACGCUAUCGAAGAUAGGGAUUUCAACAUUUAUAUACAUGUUGAUGCAGGUUUUGUUGACGUGUAGAAAUUUCUGUAUAAGCGCCAGAUCAAGGAGAGUUCCUGGAAUUGAAUUCUGCCAAUGGAAAAAAUAAGUUUCUACUGAAAAAUCAGCAACAGAGCCAAUUGUUUUGAUAAACUUCCAAGACUUUAUUUUCCCUGCAUACCGGGACCGUUACCCUACUGGUGCUUUUACCUAAUAUUAAUUUCGCUGGAGGUGCCCAGGCGCGGUAAUUUUCAAAUUACAAGUUGCGAGGCUGCAGGCUCCGCGCGGCUCUCGAACAUUGUCUAAAUAAUAGUCUAAUGGACAAGGUAUUCCGGAGCCAGCGAGGCCAGAGCGAGAGGCUUCCAGGACUCGCACCUCGUGGUUGCGCUUGCAACGAUAGUCUAUAUUCCCUUACGACUGGUUUCAUUCCCCUUUAAAGUGUUUUAGUGGCUCUGGAAGUGGGUGCCCAGGCCGUUUUCUUCAACAAACUGCCUCGUCUCUACGGUGCUGGGGCUUCACAGCCAGGGAACGGUCGUUGCUAACCCGGUUCUUGAAGAUUCAUCCCGCCGUGUCUCGUGCCGACGUGCCGGCUCUUAUGGUUCCUGAAUCUAUUUACGCAUGAAACUCGAGCGUCGCCGGAAGUGUUUGGUAUCAGAGACAAAAAACGAAAGAGUGUCCAUCGUGAAACGAGGAAUAUCGUAACAGUAAGGGGAUGUCGCAACCAUAUUCUGUAGUUACACUUUUCUAAUUCCGAAGAAGGAAGCUUUAUGUCAUGAUUAGUCGAGGUGAUGUCUUUGUGAAUCUCCUGGGAGCUCUUCGUGGAGGAAAAGAAUCUUGUAAGAAUUCUCGAAUAACUAGGCUCUUCGUCAUCGAAGCCGUCCUUGUCGCUGGUGGAGCAAAUAAUCAUGAUCGAUUCUCUCGAUUCUCUUGCAAAGUUAAAGGCAUUCCAAACGAAAAGAAACAUCGUAUCUAGUAGAUGUCACGAUAGUUAUC